GAAUUUUGGACAAUGGGCGAAAGCCUGAUCCAGCAAUGCCGCGUGCAGGAUGAAGGCCUUCGGGUUGUAAACUGCUUUUGUACGGACCGAAACGCUUUGGGGUAAUACCCUGGACUCAUGACGGUACCCGAAGGACACGCACCCGCUAACUACGUGCCAGCAGCCGCGGUAAUACGUAGGGUGCAAGCGUUAAUCGGAAUUACUGGGCGUAAAGCGUGUGCAGGCGGUUUUGUAAGACAGAGGUGAAAUCCCCGGGCUCAACCUGGGAACUGCCUUUGUGACUGCAAGGCUAGAGUACGGCAGAGGGGGGUGGAAUUCCGCGUGUAGCAGUGAAAUGCGUAGAUAUGCGGAGGAACACCGAUGGCGAAGGCAACCCCCUGGGCCUGUACUGACGCUCAUGCACGAAAGCGUGGGGAGCAAACA
rnacentral:rRNA from 1 species